UAUUACAUAUCUUUUUGUAGUUUUACAUUCGUAUUUGUAUUUAAAUUUCAACUUAAAAUUGUUUUGUAAAACAUGAAGUUUGUCAGUUAGUUUUUGUUUGAUUAUUUACAAUUCUAAAUUGUUCAGUGUUGUCAAUGUACUAGUUGUCAUAUAAGGAUUUUCGUACUCCUUAUGAUUGUGGUACAGCAGAUCAUUCAAGACAUGCUGAGACAUGAAUUACUAUUUCUAACACAUGAGAAAGUGACAACAUCCUACGUUGAAAAUGGACUAGACGAUACUGAUAACAAUAAUAGUUUUAUGUAAAAUGGCAGUACAGCAGAUCACUCAAGGCUUGCUGAGACAUGACUUCGCAUUCAUACCACUUGGGAAAGUAUCAUCAUCUUACAUUGAAAAUUAACUGGAAGAUACUGAUAAUUAUAUAGGUUUUA